AAGCUGUUCGCUCAGCAGGAUGGAGCAAUUGCCUUCUAAGCACAUCGGUUCGACUCCAGUACAGCGUACCA
rnacentral:tRNA from 7 species